GGAGCCUGUUGUGUCCAAGCGCAGGAAAGAAUUCCAGUGCGGUUAUGGUUGGAGCUCAGCAAGGGAAGGAAUAGUGGUAAUAAGCUUGACCAUCUGUCUUCCUACUUUUGCUUCGGUAGAAUCAUGGACUAAGUACCUAGGGGUGAAACAGCACAUGUCAUCAAAGAUUCAGCUUUCAGAAGUCAUCUCGGAUCUGUGUGUUUGCUGACCCCCCACACCGUGACAGGCAAGACAGAAUACAGCAAGAAAGCUUUUUUUUUUCUCCAGAUGAACUGAAACAGAAAAUUGUCCUUGCCCUGAAAGCUUGGAGGUGGAGUCACUUGGGAGUAAGCGACAAAAAGGAAUCACGCAGAAAGUCGUUUCAAUUACUUAAGGGUCCUCCAGGGUGCAUCUUCCCUGAAUGAGCACUCCACAAUCCCAAACUUUCCUGGGUCACCAGCUCUUUUAAGACCUACCCAUUUAUCUGAAGUCAAUGUGAAGAGGUGGUGUCCACGGAACUGGACGAGACGCCUGUGUUGGUAAGAAUUGGCCUG